GUGCUUGCUUAGGCAGCACAUAUACUAAAAUUGGACUAAUACGGAGAAGAUUAGCAUGUCCUUCAAGCAAGGAUGAUACGCAAAUUCGUGAAACAUUCCGUAUUUUU